GGCGGCAGGCCUAAACAUGCAAGUCGAGCGCCGUAGCAAUACGGAGCGGCAGACGGGAGAGUAACACGUGGGAACGUACCCUUUGGUUCGGAACAACCCAGGGAAACUUGGGCUAAUACCGGAUAAGCCCUCACGGGGAAAGAUUCAUCGCCGAAGGAUCGGCCCGCGUCUGAUUAGCUAGUUGGUGGGGUAAUGGCCCACCAAGGCGACGAUCAGUAGCUGGUCUGAGAGGAUGAUCAGCCUCACUGGGACUGAGACACGGCCCAGACUCCUACGGGAGGCAGCAGUGGGGAAUAUUGGACAAUGGGCCCAAGCCUGAUCCAGCCAUGCCGCGUGGGUGAUGAAGGCCCUAGGGUUGUAAAGCCCUUUCGGCGGGGAAGAUAAUGACGGUACCCGCAGAAGAAGCCCCGGCUAACUUCGUGCCAGCAGCCGCGGUAAUACGAAGGGGGCU
rnacentral:rRNA from 1 species